rnacentral:rRNA from 1 species
GUGAACGCUGGCGGUAGGCCUAACACAUGCAAGUCGAACGGCAGCACAGUAAGAGCUUGCUCUUACGGGUGGCGAGUGGCGGACGGGUGAGGAAUACAUCGGAAUCUACUUUUUCGUGGGGGAUAACGUAGGGAAACUUACGCUAAUACCGCAUACGACCUACGGGUGAAAGCAGGGGAUCUUCGGACCUUGCGCGAUUGAACGAGCCGAUGUCGGAUUAGCUAGUUGGCGGGGUAAAGGCCCACCAAGGCGACGAUCCGUAGCUGGUCUGAGAGGAUGAUCAGCCACACUGGAACUGAGACACGGUCCAGACUCCUACGGGAGGCAGCAGUGGGGAAUAUUGGACAAUGGGCGCAAGCCUGAUCCAGCCAUACCGCGUGGGUGAAGAAGGCCUUCGGGUUGUAAAGCCCUUUUGUUGGGAAAGAAAAGCAGCAGGUUAAUACCCCGCUGUUCUGACGGUACCCAAAGAAUAAGCACCGGCUAACUUCGU